AUUGAACGCUGGCGGCAGGCCUAACACAUGCAAGUCGAGCGAGCGGCGGACGGGUGUGUAAUGUCUGGGAAACUGCCUGAUGGAGGGGGAUAACUACUGGAAACGGUAGCUAAUACCGCAUACCAUCAGAUGUGCCCAGAUGGGAUUAGCUAGUAGGUGGGGUAACGGCCCACCUAGGCGACGAUCCCUAGCUGGUCUGAGAGGAUGACCAGCCGCCCUGGAACUGAAACACGGUCCAGACUCCAGCGGUAGGCGGAAGUGGGGAAUAUUGCACAAUGGGCGCAAGCCUGAUAGAGCCAUGCCGCGUGUGUGAAAAAGGUCUUCGGAUUGUAAAGCCCUUUAAGUUAGGAGGCGUUACCAACAGAAUAAGCACCGGCUAACACCGUGCCAGCAGCCGCGGUAAUAC
rnacentral:rRNA from 1 species